rnacentral:rRNA from 1 species
GAUGAACGCUGGCGGCGUGCCUAAUACAUGCAAGUCGAGCGAACAGACGAGGAGCUUGCUCCUCUGACGUUAGCGGCGGACGGGUGAGUAACACGUGGAUAACCUACCUAUAAGACUGGGAUAACUUCGGGAAACCGGAGCUAAUACCGGAUAAUAUAUUGAACCGCAUGGUUCAAUAGUGAAAGACGGUUUUGCUGUCACUUAUAGAUGGAUCCGCGCCGCAUUAGCUAGUUGGUAAGGUAACGGCUUACCAAGGCAACGAUGCGUAGCCGACCUGAGAGGGUGAUCGGCCACACUAGAACUGAGACACGGUCAAGACUCCUAAGGGAGGCAGCAGUAGGGAAUCUUCCGCAAUGGGCGAAAGCCUGACGGAGCAACGCCGCGUGAGUGAUGAAGGUCUUCGGAUCGUAAAACUCUGUUAUUAGGGAAGAACAAAUGUGUAAGUAACUAUGCACGUCUUGACGGUACCUAAUCAGAAAGCCACGGCUAACUACGUG